UACGGGGGGGGGCAAGCGUUGUUCGGAAUUACUGGGCGUAAAGGGCCAGUAGGCGGCCAACUAAGUCGGAUGUGAAAUCCCCCAGGCUUAACCUGGGAACUGCAUCCGAUACUGGAUGGCUUGAAUUCGGGAGAGGGAUGCAGAAUUCCAGGUGUAGCGGUGAAAAUGCGUAGAUAUCUGGAGGAAUACCGGUGGCGAAGGCGGCAUCCUGGACCGACAUUGACGCUGAUGAGCGAAAAGCUAGGGGGAGCAAAACGGGG
rnacentral:rRNA from 1 species